rnacentral:rRNA from 1 species
UACGUAGGGGGCAAGCGUUGUCCGGAUUUAUUGGGCGUAAAGAGCGUGUAGGCGGCUUGGUAGGUCCGCUGUGAAAACUCGAGGCUCAACCUCGAGACGCCGGUGGAAACCAUCAGGCUAGAGUCCGGAAGAGGAGAGUGGAAUUCCUGGUGUAGCGGUGAAAUGCGCAGAUAUCGGGAGGAACACCAGUGGCGAAGGCGGCGACCUGGGCCAAUAUUGACGCUGAGGUGCGAAAGCGUGGGGAGCAAACAGG